UAGUCCAUGCCCUAAACGAUGUCAACUAGUUGUCGGGUCUUAACGGGCUUGGUAACGUAGCUAACGCGUGAAGUUGACCGCCUGGGGAGUACGAUCGCAAGAUUAAAACUCAAAGGAAUUGACGGGGACCCGCACAAGCGGUGGAUUAUGUGGAUUAAUUCGAUGCAACGCGAAAAACCUUACCUACCCUUGACAUGUAUUGGAGCCCGCAGAGAUGUGGGUGUGCCCGAAAGGGAACGAUAACACAGGUGCUGCAUGGCUGUCGUCAGCUCGUGUCGUGAGAUGUUGGGUUAAGUCCCGCAACGAGCGCAACCCUUGUCAUUAAUUGCCAUCAUUUAGUUGGGCACUUUAAUGAGACUGCCGGUGACAAACCGGAGGAAGGUGGGGAUGACGUCAAGUCCUCAUGGGCCCUUAUGGGGUAGGGGCUUCGACACGUAAUACAAUGGGCGCGUACAGAGGGGUUGCCAACCCGCAAGGGGGGAGCGUAAUCUCAGAAAGCGCGUCGUAGUCCGGGAUCGGGAGUCU
rnacentral:rRNA from 1 species